rnacentral:rRNA from 1 species
AUGUCCUCGACAGCCCCUCACCAUUUCCCCUUGCCCGCACGCCGCAUCCCCUCCCUCCUCGAUCUCUCUCCCUCAUCAGCCACCAAAGCAACAAACCCUAGCCCCCUUUCCCCACGGUUCCCCAUGGUCACCGUGCCUCUCACUCCUCCCUCCUGCCUCAUCCACCUUCCCUCCUUAGAUGCCAUGGUGGCAGCCGGGCCAGGGCGGGGGAAGAAAGCCAUGGGGAGUCCGCCGGUAGGAGGAUUGGAGGAAGUAGUAGAGGCUGGUGGAGUGACAGAUGCCGAGGGCCUCGUCCAGGCGGCCGCCUCCGGCCUCGGCCCCGCCGCCUCCCAUUAUGACGAGCUGUUCCGCGUCAUGCGCGCGGUCGACAAGGAUCUCCGGGGCGCCGCCGCCGGCCCGGAGGAGAACGAGAUGAAACGCCAACGUUCGCUUGGCCGAGGCUUGCUUGGGGAGCUGUCGACAAGCCGGCGGGGUGAGCUACUGUCUGGUCCCCUGUUGCCGACGACCGUGGUGUCGAGCAAGAGCGGGUCGUGUCGUCAUGGGAAGAGGCUCAAUGGCUCACCAUCGAAGAGCCGUCGUAGGAGCCACAAGGUCAAAAAAGCUACAGACGGGAGGAGGUCGGGAUGGAACUACCUCUUCCCCAUGAGCUCAUGA